GUGUCAGCAGCCGCGGUAAUACGUAGGGUGCGAGCGUUAAUCGGAAUUACUGGGCGUAAAGCGUGCGCAGGCGGCUUUGCAAGACAGAUGUGAAAUCCCCGGGCUCAACCUGGGAACUGCAUUUGUGACUGCAAGGCUAGAGUACGGCAGAGGGGGAUGGAAUUCCGCGUGUAGCAGUGAAAUGCGUAGAUAUGCGGAGGAACACCGAUGGCGAAGGCAAUCCCCUGGGCCUGUACUGACGCUCAUGCACGAAAGCGUGGGGAGCAAACAGGAUUAGAUACCCUGGUAGUCCACGCCCUAAACGAUGUCAACUGGUUGUUGGACGGCUUGCUGUUCAGUAACGAAGCUAACGCGUGAAGUUGACCGCCUGGGGAGUACGGCCGCAAGGUUGAA
rnacentral:rRNA from 1 species